rnacentral:rRNA from 1 species
CCUACGGGAGGCAGCAGUAAGGAAUCUUGCGCAAUGGGCGAAGGCCUGACGCAGCGACGCCGCGUGGGCGAUGAAGGCCUUCGGGUUGUAAAGCCCUUUUCUGGGGGACGAGGAAGGACGGUACCCCAGGAAUAAGUCACGGCUAACUACGUGCCAGCAGCCGCGGUAAGACGUAGGAGGCAAGCGUUGUCCGGAAUUAUUGGGCGUAAAGCGCCCGUAGGCGGGGGUGAAAAUCGGGUGUGAAAUCCCCCGACCCAAUCGGGGACCCGCGCCCGAUACUCCACUCCUGGAGGGAAGCAGAGGAAGGCGGAAUUCCCGGUGUAGCGGUGAAAUGCGUAGAUACCGGGAGGAACACCGUUGGCGAAGGCGGCCUUCUGGGCUUCUCCUGACGCUGAGGGGCGAAAGCCUGGGGAGCGAACGGGAUUAGAUACCCCUGUAGU